AUGCACGCUGGCGGCGUGCUUCACACAUGCCAGUCGAACGAAGCACUUUAUUUGAUUUCCUUCGGGACUGAUUAUUUUGUGACUGAGUGGCGGACGGGUGAGUAACGCGUGGGUAACCUGCCUUGUACAGGGGGAUAACAGUUGGAAACGGCUGCUAAUACCGCAUAAGCGCACAGCAUCGCAUGAUGCAGUGUGAAAAACUCCGGUGGUAUAAGAUGGACCCGCGUUGGAUUAGCUAGUUGGUGAGGUAACGGCCCACCAAGGCGACGAUCCAUAGCCGACCUGAGAGGGUGACCGGCCACAUUGGGACUGAGACACGGCCCAAACUCCUACGGGAGGCAGCAGUGGGGAAUAUUGCACAAUGGGCGAAAGCCUGAUGCAGCGACGCCGCGUGAGCGAAGAAGUAUUUCGGUAUGUAAAGCUCUAUCAGCAGGGAAGAUAAUGACGGUACCUGACUAAGAAGCACCGGCUAAAUACGUG
rnacentral:rRNA from 1 species